rnacentral:rRNA from 1 species
CUGAUUAUACUGUGAGAACGAAAGUUCUUGCUUUGAACUAGAUAACAACUUUCAGCAGUGGAUGUCUAGGCUCGCACAUCGAUGAAGAACGCUGCGAACUGCGAUACGUAAUGCGAAUUGCAGAAUUCAGUGAGUCAUCGAAAUUUUGAACGCAUAUUGCACUUCCGGGUUAUGCCUGGAAGUAUGUCUGUAUCAGUGUCCGUAAAUCAACCUUGUCUUUCUUCCUUCCGUGUAGUCGGUGGCGGAGAGUUGCAGAUGUGAAGUGUCUCGCUGUUGCUGGUGGUGCAUUUUUGUGCCGCCGAGUUUGCGAGUCCUUUUAAAUGGACACGACUUUUCUCUUUUUUGUAUCUGCUUGGUGGUGUGCUCGAGCGCGGUGGUUUUCGGAUCGCUCGCGGCUGUCGGCGACUUCGGUGAAUGCAUGAUGGAGUGGACCUCGAUUCGCGGUAUGUUGGGCUUCGGCUGGACAAUGUUGCUUAUUGUGUGUUUGUUCCGCGUUCGCCUUGAGGUGUACUGGUGGCUGUGGGAUGUAUUUGGUUGCUGCUGUUGGUAGUGCGUGCUUCCUGUUGGUGGGUGCAGCUGCUUUUCGUAUUUUGUACGUGGGGGCAGAAGAGGAGUUUCAAUUUGGGAAGUUUUG